rnacentral:rRNA from 1 species
GACGAACGCUGGCGGCGUGCUUAACACAUGCAAGUCGAACGGAAAGGCCCUGCGUUUGUGGGGUGCUCGAGUGGCGAACGGGUGAGUAACACGUGAGUAACCUGCCCUUGACUUUGGGAUAACUUCAGGAAACUGGGGCUAAUACCGGAUAGGAGCUCCUGCUGCAUGGUGGGGGUUGGAAAGUUUCGGCGGUUGGGGAUGGACUCGCGGCUUAUCAGCUUGUUGGUGGGGUAGUGGCUUACCAAGGCUAUGACGGGUAGCCGGCCUGAGAGGGUGACCGGCCACAUUGGGACUGCGAGACGCCCCAGACUCCUACGGGAGGCAGCAGUGGGAAAUAUUGCACAAUGGGCGGAAGCCUGAUGCAGCAACGCCGCGUGCGGGAUGACGGCCUUCGGGUUGUAAACCGCUUUCGCCUGUGACGAAGCGUGAGUGACGGUAAUGGGUAAAGAAGCACCGGCUAACUACGUG